rnacentral:rRNA from 1 species
GACGAACGCUGGCGGCGUGCUUAACACAUGCAAGUCGAACGGAAAGGCCCUGCUUUUGUGGGGUGCUCGAGUGGCGAACGGGUGAGUAACACGUGAGUAACCUGCCCACAACUUUGGGAUAACGCUAGGAAACUGGUGCUAAUACUGGAUAUGUGCUCCUGCUGCAUGGUGGGGGUUGGAAAGCUCCGGCGGUUGUGGAUGGACUCGCGGCCUAUCAGCUUGUUGGUGGGGUAGUGGCCUACCAAGGCGGCGACGGGUAGCCGGCCUGAGAGGGUGACCGGCCACAUUGGGACUGAGAUACGGCCCAGACUCCUACGGGAGGCAGCAGUGGGGAAUAUUGCACAAUGGGCGCAAGCCUGAUGCAGCAACGCCGCGUGCGGGAUGACGGCCUUCGGGUUGUAAACCGCUUUCAGCAGGGACGAAGCUUUUUGUGACGGUACCUGCAGAAGAAGCACCGGCUAACUACGUG